AGAAAGAAAGGGGAGAAGAGAAAAGAGAGGAGAAAAGAAGAAAGGAAAAAGAGAAGAGGAAAGAAGAGGAAAAAGAGGAGGAAAGAUAGAAGAGGAAAGAGAGAGAAAAUUCAGUGAGCCUCACAUAUUGUAAACUCUAAAGUUGUAGCCCUAUUAUUUUAUAUAGUGAAAAAGUUACUGCUGCUACUCUCCGAGGACGUAGGCAUAGCCGAACCUCGUAAAUGUUGUGUCUCAUCUACUUUACGUGCAGCUCAAUAUUCAUACAUAUUCCAGGUUAUUUUUAUAACACGUUAUCAGCACGAGAAGCUCUCAGGUAUAAUUUUUGUGCUGCACUAUUAUCUAUACUACUAACCACUAACAAAAAUGGACCCUUGGUAAUACUAAACCUAUUAUCAGUGGGAGACCGUUACUAAUACUAACUUUUUCUUAUUUUAUUAGGUGGUGGUUUUAACCCCACAUUUAUUUACUGUAUGGUGUAGGUUUAUUACCCAUACAUGCCACCUUUACUUUAUCGUCUACGCCUUUGCUUUUAUUUAAAUGUAUGGAGCAGAAUUAGUGCCCAUACAAGCACAAUUUACUUUACCGCACAUUUAAUUUAUUUAAAGUAUGGUGCGGGAUUAACGUUCAUACAGCAAGCAAUUUAAUUUAUGAAUUUAAUUUACCGCACAUUUAUAUUUAUUUAAAAGGGUGGUGCGGGUUUAUCGUCCACGCCUUUAUUUUUAUUUAAAUGUAUGGAGCAGAAUUAAUGCCCAUACAAGCACCUUAACUUUAUGAAUUUAAUUUACCGCACAUUUACAUUUAUUUAAAGUGUGGUGCGGGUUUAUCGUCCAUACCAGUAAUUUAUUUAUCAGCAAUUUAUUUUAUGGAUUAAUUGUGCUGUAUGAUGAGUUUUUCCAGUAUUCAGAUCAGGACCAGAAGUUCCUUGAUCCUCAUCAUACAAUUACAUCAGGACUUGAAGAUCCUUGAUGAUGAUAUGAGAGCUGGCAGUCUCUCCGGUACUGUAUUUGUAAACAUGUGAUUGGACUUAAAGGUCCUUGAUCCCUGACAUGUAAAUAAGGACCUAGAGUUCCUUAAUGAUGUAACAGUACCGUAUUGGUUCAUAGUGCCGUACACAUUGAUGAUAACUGUACUGGCAGAUGAAUAGAUACGUAUUCAUGACUUGAUGAAUAGUACUAUUCACAUGAAUAGUGACGUAUGCAUAAAUAUUAACCAUUUUGGGUAAACCGUCACUAUAUACAAAAGGGAACCUGCAGUUCCUUAAACUCAUGGAUGUGCAAUUAAAUGAGAUGCCAGAAGUUCCUCAAAAUAUGGACAAUUAUGUAAGGGCUUGAAAUCCCGAAAUAUGUACAGAAAAUUGUAAAAAUGUCCAUACCAUGAGAAUAUGUGGCUUUGGCCUGAAGUUCAAAAUUUAACAGUGUUGAGAACCUGAAGUUCCAACAAUUAAAUGGACAACCCUUGAGGUAUUAUUGCAAAUUGUGGUAUGCCACAUAUUUCUUUGGCAUAAGAAGAUGAUGAAUUUAAAGUUCGAUUUUGUUAUAAUCGACACCUCAAGGAAGAAAUAUAUUUUGUGAAUUCCGGUUGUUAAGAAUACACCGCGAAAUGGAUAAUAUUAAUAUAAACCUCAAAUAAUGAAUUGAGACUUCCCACAUAUUUUGUUAUAUCUGGGCCGGAAGCCCAUGGAUCCAAAUAUAUGAGAGAUCCUAAACUUGAAGUUGUGGGUAUAUAGUAGUUAAUGCUCUUCACUACUAUAUUGCGAUAUUAUCAUGGCUUUUACUCAAUUCAUAUUUCAUGUCCAUUUGAAAAGGGCAAAUAAAUUCUGAGUUUGUGCCCAGGCCAUAAGUUCCGGGCUACCAUACGUUGAAAUAUGAAAUUUGGGAGAGUCGAUGUGGUUAUUUGAACCUAUAAGGCACAAGGUUCCAAAUCGUCAUUUUGAAAAGACGUAAAAACCACAGGUGCAAGUUUAAGAAUAUGCGCAAUUAUUAUAACAGGAACAUAUAACAGAUAGAUUUUUCCACCUGCAAUGAAGGUGCAGGCCCUGUGAAAUCUAUAAAAAAUUACAUUAUGUUCUGGAAGCCUCUGCAGGAAGAUGACGGCGCCUCUUAAGCUUAGCCAUGAGCUUCUCGUGGUCUCCCAAAAUUCUUUCAUUGGAGACCUGCAGUAUGUCUAGCCUUCUCAGUGUAUCAACAGAGUACGAACUCACCAGUUUCAACAAGGCAUUAUUCUCUCCUUUAAGUUUCUCAACCUCCUGUUGAGACUCAUGAAGCAUUCUUUGGAGAGACGAAUUUUCAGUUGUUAAAUUCUCAACUUCGUUUGCUCUGGCACGCAAACGAUCAGCCAUGUUAGAAACAGAAGCAGCACUCUGAAUGCUAAAAGCCAUUGAGUCAUCAAUAGCCUCUUCCUCUGAUCUCCCUGUCAACAACAUUUCAUCCAUUGGAGUAAUGAAAUUCCUAGCUACUAUGACAGCAGUAGCAUCAUUCAUCAUCACAGAAUCAUUAACUGUGAGAUGACGAUUUUUGGAUACAAAGGAUGGACCCCAAACUUGGGCGUCACUGGUUGUUGUGGGAGCAUCAUUUAAAUUGAAAUAAUUUGGGCAGGAAGAAGAGGAAGCCAUUUUUUUAAGAAGGUUUCGAAGAAAGUCUUAGAAAAACUAAAGGUUCGGAAAAUGAAGGAAAUUGAGUUGAAACGCAGUUUGCAAAGGCAAUAUCUAUAGACGAAAAUGUGGCAACUUUUCAGGACCCCAAUGUCUUCUCGAAUCCCCAUAUUAUCUUUUUCUUUCCCAGAGUCCAAAACUUCACAUGGCCUCUAAUAAUGCCUGUCGGCACUUUCGGCGUUUUUCAAAGUAUUAUUUUCAAAGCCGAUCUUGCUUUACGGAUUUCACGGAGCUAUUUUUUCAAAAGUAUCCCGAGAAUCUCGCAAUUUUCCUAUGGUUAAUUUGAAAUUUACCGGUUCUACCUAUUCAUUGUAUUUGUGUAUAAAUGUGUUACUAACGAAAUUUUCCUUUGCAGAAGACAUCCAGUUUACUCCAUACUUAGUGAUGCGAUAUCUACUUAUUUUUCUUAUCAGUGAGCACUCAAUAUGCCUGAGAAGCAAGACUAUCUCUGAUCAUCCAUUCAGGAAGCAAGACUAUCCCUGAUCAUGUUUCCGCUACAUUAGGGAACUGUGAAGGUGACCUUAUGCUCCAAUCUCCUGAGGUCUUUCUAGACUAGGAGAAAUGAGAGCUUGUUGUUUGCUCCCACCAGCUUCCUUCCUUGAUUGCUUACCUUACCUUGCAAUCAAUAUCACAAUCUUUUUGCAUUUUUUCUCUUUUUAUAACUCUCUGUUCAUAAGAGAUUUUAUUUCUUUAGAAUGAACAUCUGAAGAAUGAAUCCAUGCAGUGAUCCUAACUCUGAGAGUUAUUUGUUUUUGACAGAGAAGAGAAUUGUGAUUUUUGCUCUUGCAGGAUAUAACUAGACCAUCAAGCGCUACAUUAUAUUUACUAGGCUGAUAUGAGCUUGAAUGAUACUUGAGAAAAGUUUCUCCCACCUAAGGAUGUAAGCAAUACUUGUGUUAUUUUAUGCUUAUAUACCUAUUUGAUAUUUUAUCUUGAAAGGUAACCAAAUGGGGAGAUAAGUCCGUUCCAAAAGAAUGGCUUGUAUGUAUCCAUGAAUUAUUAAUGCAAAUUUUACAGAUUGCAAGUUGGAUACAUUGAUAAUACACUGCACAGAUUAAAGUCCCAUAAGAACAAAAUAUGGGUAUAGCAGUGAUCAAUAUGAUGCACGCCUAUUGCGUAGCAAAUGAUAUGGAUUGAAGUCCCGAAAGGACAAUCCUUUGACAUGUCAAUAUUGAUAUUAUACACGCCUAAUGCGUAGCAAAUUAUAUGGGUUAAAGUCCCAGAAAUUAAUUGACAUGUAUGUAUUAAUCUGUGGCAUGCCUGCAGCAUGACAGAUAUAUGGGUUCUAAAUGUUCCAACUCUCUAAAUAGAGAUUAUCCAUGCCCUACUGUAAAAUAACGCUCCAUUGGAGGUUAUAAUCCACAUUCUCACAUAAUAAAAGCCCCCUGAAGUGGCUUGGGUACCCAAAAGCAAAGAAAUGCUUAUAAUUGAUGCAUGCGCAUGCACAUGAGAAUGGUGGAAUCAUGAAUGACAAUUUUUGAUCAUGAAUUGAUGAAUGACAAUUUUUGGUUUUGGAGUAGCUACUCAAAUCAUCAAUGGGCUGUGUUGAUUGGAACCACGUUCAAUUAUUAAAUGUCGACAAUAUCAUUGGCCAAAAUGGAACGAGGUAAUUCCAUUAUAAAUGAGAAUGAACGUGAAAGAACAAACCCACAAUACGAACCCCAAAAUUUGUUAAUACUGAAAGUUAUACUUGGGUGUUCGGAAUAAAAGGGAAUAUACCUACUUUGUAUGACACACUGUUUCUGGCAGAAACAAGGAAUGUUGGGUUUUCUCCAUAUUUACAGAUUCAAUUGUGCCCCCCUUAUUACACAAUUACGGAGACCAACAUAUUAUCUUUAAGGGUUAUUAAUGCACAGAGCAUAUCGCCAGAAGCGAUUUUCUAAAGAUGUAUAAAUAGCUGAGUAAAAGCUAUAUAAUGUGUCAUAAAGUUUAAUCCCUUUUAACCAAAAUCCGUUGAGAGGAUUGAUAUUGCAUAGAGCAAGUCCCUAAAGGACAUGUGCUUGAAGCACAAAAUUUGUACUCAAUAUUAAUAUGCAUAAAUUACCUCAGUGAGUACAUUGAUUAUAAUGUGAUUGCAACACAUUAAAGCUUCUACAGAAUUCAUGAAAUAUUUGUCUCGAUCGAGCAUUAUGCCAACGAGAUUCUUGCUUAUACUAAGAAAGUAUUGAAGUAUUUUUAUAAGGAUUAUCCGUUGGAUACUUUAAUGAUUUUCCGGAAGUAUAUUGGACCGGACAUCAUAUUUUCCAAAUAGGGCUCAACUCCAUCACCAUCAUUUUGGGAUGAUGUGAGGUAUAUUUGAUGCUAUCUAAGCAUAACACCAUAUACGGGCAUAUUUUUUAGUGAACUUAUAAAUGGCCCAAGUGUUCUAAGAUAUGCGGACUCAGGAAAUCUCUAUGGUUGCUUACUGGAAAAAGCUAGUCAUGAAGUUUUCAGGGGGAGAUAUUCAUCAGGGGGAGCAUGGUAUUAAUAAAGACCUUCAUACACUAUUGACUCACAGCAGCAGUGUCAACUAUGAUAUUCAGACAGAUGAUCAACAGUAUGGCUUACAGAUAUUUUGCCAAGCAUCAGGGGGAGCGUGCUGUCAAUACAGACCCUUACACACUAUACUCUUUUUCCUUCGUCCAGGUUUUUAUCCCACUGGGUUUUUCCUGGCAAGGUUUUAACGAGGCAGUGUCGCACGCGCGUCAAUAUACACAGAAUUUUGUGUUACACGUGAUUAUGUACUCUUUUUCCCUUCGACCAGUUUUUGUCCCACUGGGUUUUUACUGGCAAGGUUUUUAACGAGGCAUAUUCCAUAUCAUUUGUGGUCUCCAAGGGGGAGUGUUGUAAAAGUUUGAAGGUGGAGCCCACAGAGGAAGUUUCCUUGCAUCUUCCAGGAACUUUCCCUUCCCUGUAUUUAUCAAUUCAGGAAGUUUCCUUGCAUCUUCCAGGAACUUUCCUUUCCUGUAUUUAUCAAUUCAGGAAGUUUCCUUGCAUCUUCCAGGAACCUUCCCUUCCCUGUAUUUUGCCUAAACAUUAGCCUAUAAAUAGGCAUACCAAUUGUAAAGGGGAGUGUGACCAACGGAGAAAAGAAAGAAAGGGGAGAAGAGAAAAGAGAGGAGAAAAGAAGAAAGGAAAAAGAGAAGAGGAAAGAAGAGGAAAAAGAGGAGGAAAGAUAGAAGAGGAAAGAGAGAGAAAAUUCAGUGAGCCUCACAUAUUGUAAACUCUAAAGUUGUAGCCCUAUUAUUUUAUAUAGUGAAAAAGUUACUGCUGCUACUCUCCGAGGACGUAGGCAUAGCCGAACCUCGUAAAUGUUGUGUCUCAUCUACUUUACGUGCAGCUCAAUAUUCAUACAUAUUCCAGGUUAUUUUUAUAACAGUAUUGUAUUUGUUGGUACCCUUUGUAUAAUGAGAAGUUUCCAAACAUUUUUUUUCUUCUUUUCAGUUAUUGCAACUUGCC
rnacentral:lncRNA from 1 species